ACUCCUACGGGAGGCAGCAGUKGGGAAUAUUGGACAAUGGGCGAAAGCCUGAUCCAGCCAUGCCGCGUGUGUGAAGAAGGUCUUCGGAUUGUAAAGCACUUUAAGUUGGGAGGAAGGGCAGUAAGCGAAUACCUUGCUGUUUUGACGUUACCGACAGAAUAAGCACCGGCUAACUCUGUGCCAGCAGCCGCGGUAAUACAGAGGGUGCAAGCGUUAAUCGGAAUUACUGGGSGUAAAGCGCGCGUAGGUGSUUYKUUAAGUUGAAYGUGAAAGCCCCGGGCUCWACCUGGGAAYUGCAUYCAAMACUGGCGAGCUMGAGUAGSGCAGAGGGUGGKGGAAUUUCCYGUGUAGCGGUGAAAUGCGUAGAUAUAGGAAGGAACACCAGUGGCGAAGGCGACCACCUGGGCUCAUACUGACACUGAGGUGSGAAAGCGUGGGGAGCAAACAGGAUUAGAUACCCUGGUAGUCCACGCCGUAAACGAUGUCAACUAGCCGUUGGAAUCCUUGAGACUUUAGUGGCGCAGCUAACGCMUUAAGUUGMCCGCCUGGGGAGUACGGCCSCAAGGUUAAAACUCAAAUGAAUUGACGG
rnacentral:rRNA from 1 species